AUGCAGUCGAGCGAACGGAUAAGGAGCUUGCUCCUUUGAAGUUAGCGGCGGACGGGUGAGUAACACGUGGGUAACCUACCUAUAAGACUGGGAUAACUUCGGGAAACCGGAGCUAAUACCGGAUAACAUUUAGAACCGCAUGGUUCUAAAGUGAAAGAUGGUUUUGCUAUCACUUAUAGAUGGACCCGCGCCGUAUUAGCUAGUUGGUAAGGUAACGGCUUACCAAGGCGACGAUACGUAGCCGACCUGAGAGGGUGAUCGGCCACACUGGAACUGAGACACGGUCCAGACUCCUACGGGAGGCAGCAGUAGGGAAUCUUCCGCAAUGGGCGAAAGCCUGACGGAGCAACGCCGCGUGAGUGAUGAAGGGUUUCGGCUCGUAAAACUCUGUUAUUAGGGAAGAACAAAUGUGUAAGUAACUGUGCACAUCUUGACGGUACCUAAUCAGAAAGCCACGGCUAACUACGUGCCAGCAGCCGCGGUAAUACGUAGGUGGCAAGCGUUAUCCGGAAUUAUUGGGCGUAAAGCGCGCGUAGGCGGUUUCUUAAGUCUGAUGUGAAAGCCCACGGCUCAACCGUGGAGGGUCAUUGGAAACUGGGAAACUUGAGUGCAGAAGAGGAAAGUGGAAUUCCAUGUGUAGCGGUGAAAUGCGCAGAGAUAUGGAGGAACACCAGUGGCGAAGGCGACUUUCUGGUCUGUAACUGACGCUGAUGUGCGAAAGCGUGGGGAUCAAACAGGAUUAGAUACCCUGGUAGUCCACGCCGUAAACGAUGAGUGCUAAGUGU
rnacentral:rRNA from 1 species